CCGGGGGCAAGAGGUUCGACCCGAGCGAAGCGAGAGAACGUUGCGUCAGCAACGGCCCGCAGGGCGAGCCACGCAGUGGCGAGUCAUCCUCUAUCACCGACCA
rnacentral:sRNA from 1 species